CAGUAGCCACGGGAAUACGUAGGUGGCGAGCGUUGUCCGGAUUUAUUGGGCGUAAAGGGAGUGUAGGCGGUCUUUUAAGUCUGAUGUGAAAGCCCACGGCUCAACCGUGGAGGGUCAUUGGAAACUGGGAGACUUGAGUGCAGAAGAGGAGAGCGGAAUUCCAUGUGUAGCGGUGAAAUGCGUAGAUAUAUGGAGGAACACCAGUGGCGAAAGCGGCUCUCUGGUCUGUCACUGACGCUGAGGCUCGAAAGCGUGGGUAGCGAACAGGAUUAGAUACCCCUGUAGUCCCUGUCUCUUAUAC
rnacentral:rRNA from 1 species